rnacentral:rRNA from 1 species
ACCUAAUAGCUAGCUUAUAACUAAAAUUCAACACAUAAAUAUUAAUAACCCCUAAUAUUCCUAAUAUUUUAACUAAACCAUUUUUCCCCCUAAGUAAAGGUGAUAGAAAAGGACAUUCUUAAAGCUAUAGAAAAAGUACCGCAAGGGAACGCUGAAAAAGAAAUGAAAUAAUUCAGUAAAGUAUAAAAAAGCAGAGCUUAACGCUCGUACCUUUUGCAUCAUGAUUUAGCAAGUCCAUAUUAAGCAAAAAGUUUUAUAGUUUAAUUUCCCGAAAUUAAGUGAGCUACUCCAAGACAGCCUAAAACAGGGCGAACACAUCUCUGUGGCAAAAGAGUGUGAAGAGCUUCGAGUAGAGGUGAUAAACCUACCGAACUUAAUUAUAGCUGGUUGCCUAAGAAACGAAUAGAAGUUCGGCCUUUAAUUUUCUUACUUUACAUAAGGUCUUCCUAAGCGAAAACUAAAGAAAAAUAAAGAGUUAUUCAAAGGAAGUACAGUUCCUAUGAAACAAGACACAGCUUUGCAGGAAGGAUAAAAAUCAUAAUUUAUAAGGUUAGUGUUUUAGUGGGCCUAAAAGCAGCCAUCUAAAAAGAAAGCGUUAAAGCUUAAUCACUUUUAUUCCUCUAAUAAUGAUAUCUAAUUUUAUUCCGCCUGUUUUAUUAGGCUAUUCCAUAAUUUAUGGAAAAAAUUAUGCUAAAAUGAGUAAUAAGAGAACUACCUCUCCUAACAUAAGUGUACUUCGGAACGGAAAAUCCACCGAAAAUUAACGGGCCCAAAAAAAGAGGGCAUUGAAGAAAAAACAGAUAACUAGAAAAUACUUCAAAACUUACCGUUAACCCUACACUGGUGUGUUCUAAAGGAAAGACUAAAAGAAGAAGAAGGAACUCGGCAAAUAUAACUUAAGCCCCGCCUGUUUACCAAAAACAUCGCCUCUUGACUAUAAAACAUAAGAGGUACCGCCUGCCCUGUGACUAAUGUUUAACGGCCGCGGUAUUCUGACCGUGCAAAGGUAGCGCAAUCAAUUGUCUUUUAAAUGAAGACCUGUAUGAAUGGCAUAACGAGGGCUAAACUGUCUCCUCCUUCCAGUCAAUGAAAUUGAUCUUCCCGUGCAGAAGCGGGAAUAAUAACAUAAGACGAGAAGACCCUAUGGAGCUUAAAACGCAAGAAUAGAUCACAUCACUUACCCUGGGUUAACAGGACAAGACAACUGAGUACUAUUCUAGUGUUUUUGGUUGGGGCGACCGCGGGGUAAAAUAAAACCCCCACGUAGAACGAAAAUACAUUUUUUUAAUUUAAGGGAAACAACCCUAAAAAACAGAAUCUCUGACUUUUUGAUCCGGUUUUACCGAUCAACGAACCGAGUUACCCUAGGGAUAACAGCGCAAUCCUCUUUUAGAGCCCAUAUCGACAAGGGGGUUUACGACCUCGAUGUUGGACCAGGACAUCCUAAUGGUGCAGCCGCUAUUAAGGGUUCGUUUGUUCAACGAUUAAAGUCCUACGUGAUCUGAGUUCAGACCGGAGCAAUCCAGGUCAGUUUCUAUCUAUGAGAUGAUCUUCUCUAGUACGAAAGGACCGAGAAGAAAAGGCCAAUGCCAUAAGCAAGCCCUCCCCCAAUUUAAUGAAGACAACUAAAUUAAAUAAUGAGGCAUAAACCCUUAAAGCAAAGAUAAUGCUUU